AUUGAACGCUGGCGGUAUGCUUAACACAUGCAAGUCGGACGGCAGCGGGCCUUCGGGUGCCGGCGAGUGGCGGACGGGUGAGUAACGCGUAGGAAUCUGCCUGGUAGUGGGGGACAACUUAUGGAAACGUAAGCUAAUACCGCCUACGCCCUACGGGGGAAAGCGGGGGACUUUCGGGCCUCGCGCUAUCAGAUGAGCCUGCGUUGGAUUAGCUGGUUGGCGGGGUAAUGGCCCACCAAGGCGACGAUCCAUAGCUGGUCUGAGAGGACGAUCAGCCACACUGGGACUGAGACACGGCCCAGACUCCUACGGGAGGCAGCAGUGGGGAAUAUUGGACAAUGGGCGGAAGCCUGAUCCAGCAAUACCGCGUGUGUGAAGAAGGCCUGAGGGUUGUAAAGCACUUUCAAUGGGAAGGAACACCUGCCGGCUAAUACCUGGUAGACUGACAUUACCCAUACAAGAAGCACCGGCUAACUCCGUGCCAGCCGCCGCCGUAAUAC
rnacentral:rRNA from 1 species